UGACUUCUUAGUCGAUUCAGAAUGCACACGGAGCCUACGUUAGUUGAGCUUGAGAACUUGCGUCCGAUCUUUUCUUCAGCAGUAUCAAUUUUUUGGAAAGAUCCUUAACAACAAGAAACUAUAAAUGGAAUGAUCCUUUCAUCAACUACCACUAAUGGUCAUCACCUAAUCCAACAGUACACCAACACCCUGAAAUACAUGCAGCACAUGAUACCCGAUAGUAAAAAUAAACCAAAUGUGAAACGAUAAAAAUUGGGAACUAAUAAAAUAAAACAUAAAACAAAAGAAAAAAUAAAAGAAAAAAGCAUAGUAAAACCUCCCCCACACUUGAACUAAACAUUAACCUCAAUGGUUUAGAACAGGAUAGAAUGAGGGUGACUCACAAUGCCCUACUGAGGGGGUUGGGGCGAAAAGUGCAACAUGCCCACAUGAAAUUCAAAUUUUCCAAACAAAUUUCAAAUCCGCAGGCCUGACACGGGUUGUGUCAGCUGACACGGACGGCCGUGUCAGGCUGCAGUUAUGCUUAUUUUUCCAACUUUUUCCAUAUGAG
rnacentral:lncRNA from 1 species